rnacentral:rRNA from 1 species
UACGGAGGGAGCUAGCGUUGUUCGGAAUUACUGGGCGUAAAGCGCACGUAGGCGGCUUUGUAAGUUAGAGGUGAAAGCCCAGUGCCUCAACGACUGGAAACUGCCUUUAAGACUGCAUCGCUUGAAUCCAGGAGAUGGUGAGUGGAAUUCCGAAGUGUAGAGGUGAAAUUCGUAGAUAUUCGGAAGAAACACCAGUGGCGUAAGGGCGGCUCACUGGACUGGUAUUGACGACUGAGGUGGCGAAAAGCGUUGGGGAGCAAACAGG